GGAUUAGAUACCCUGGUAGUCCACGCUGUAAACGAUGAUCACUCGUUGUUUGCGAUAUAUUGUAAGCGACUGAGCGAAAGCAUUAAGUGAUCCACCUGGGGAGUACGUUGGCAACAAUGAAACUCAAAGGAAUUGACGGGGGCCCGCACAAGCGGAGGAACAUGUGGUUUAAUUCGAUGAUACGCGAGGAACCUUACCUGGGUUUAAAUGCAGAUUGCAUAGUUUGGAAACAGACUUUUCCUUCGGGACUAUUUGCAAGGUGCUGCAUGGUUGUCGUCAGCUCGUGCCG
rnacentral:rRNA from 1 species